rnacentral:rRNA from 1 species
GACGAACGCUGGCGGCGUGCUUAACACAUGCAAGUCGAGCGGUAAGGCCCUUUCGGGGGUACACGAGCGGCGAACGGGUGAGUAACACGUGGGUGACCUGCCCUCAGCUCUGGGAUAAGCCUGGGAAACUGGGCCUAAUACCGGAUAUGACUCCAUGACGCAUGUUGUGGGGUGGAAAGCCUUGUGCGGCUGAGGAUGGGCCCGCGGCCUAUCAGCUUGUUGGUGGGGUGANGGCCUACCAAGGCGACGACGGGUAGCCGGCCUGAGAGGGCGACCGGCCACACUGGGACUGAGACACGGCCCAGACUCCUACGGGAGGCAGCAGUGGGGAAUCUUGCGCAAUGGGCGAAAGCCUGACGCAGCGACGCCGCGUGAGGGAUGACGGCCUGCGGGUUGUAAAGCACUUUCAGCAGAGAAGAAAAGCUUAGAGCUAAUAUCUCUAAGUCUUGACGUCACCUGCA